GGCGGGGGCCUAGGGCCUGGCUCCGUUCGGCCUCUGCUUCCUUCCCGUGGCUUCUGGAGUCUUCUAGAUGUAAGAUAAUUGCGCGGCACGUUGAUAUCUCUAUGUAAUCCCGACGUGUGGGCCUUUCUUCCGUAUUUCCUGAUAACCCCCUGCAGAAAUAGACAAACACCAAAACUCAUGGAAUUCUGUCAGAUAAAACCCUAAGUUUGGAUGUUGAUUUCAUUUGGAUCCUUUUCUUUGUUUAUUUGAUAAUUAAAUUUGAUACUUAAGGACCGUCAACAAACUCCUCCAAGCUUACCUCUUGCUCGUCCGUGAGCAAGGAUAAUCUCAGCGAUGGAUCAGAAGUUGUUGUAAUGCCUUUUAAAAUUGACGGUACACAUUGUUUUAAAUGAGGUCUCAUCUCUGAGUUAGAGUAAACUGUCAAGACUUAAAACUUACUUACUUUACCUUCUACCAUGGGACUUGUAACCAUCACUUCCGUCUUGAGUAGUUAAAAGAUAGAACAGUCUAGUCAAGUUCCAUGUCUCUUAUUCUUGAUCAACUAUAGCUCUGGAGUUUUUGCAGAUUUUCAAAUUAAACUCAGAGAUUCCUUGUAUGAUUCUCUUAUAUCUCUCUAUUGUGGUAUUUUUGGAUCCUUACCAAGGCAGUGAUGGUAUAUGUCUUCUCUCAAAAUAUGUGGUCUUUGUGGUAUAAGGCAUAGUGACAUUGCCUUCUCUCUUAUCCUACUCUAAUAAGGCUUUAAUAUCUGGAGCUCAUAGGUGGGAGAUAAAAUAUACAUACUCACAAGACAUUUAUUGCAUAGUCAAACCAUGGAUCCAAAGAAACAAAUCAAUAAGUCAAAUCAAGAUGUGCAUGUGUGGCGAAUAAAUGGUGUAUGGUGAUAAUGGUGAUAACAAUGGUGAAAGUCUAAUUCUACUUUUGCUCUUUGAGGGGAUACAUACCUUCUUUGCUUUUUGAAACUUUGUGAGGAGAAUAAGAUGCUCUUCCUUUUAUUUUCUCUCAGGUGGGUAUCUUGUACCCCUAAUUCUACUGUCGGACACUUGUCCAUUUUUACCUCUCGUCUCACUUUUUCUUUUCUUUCGAGGUUCCGGGCACUUGCCCCUUUUUAUUUUCUCGUAUUUUUAUUUUUUUCUUCUUUUCUUUUUUUAGAGCACUCAUCUCUUGAGAUAAUAUAGCAACUUAGUAACAAGAUAACUUGAGCAUUUAUUUCACAGAAAUAUUUUUGGCCAUUCUCUCCCGGAUUAUGAGUAGAAUAUUUUUGGGUGGUUCUGGAGAUGGAAAUGGGUGGAUAUAUGUGGAUGGUACUUCCGGAGUAUGUAACACCCUAAAAAUUCCCUUGUUUUAAAUAGUUGAAUUUGAUUUAUUGUGUCAAUUUUGUGAGCAUCAAAAUAUAAGAAAAAAAACUAAUAAUAAUAAUUUUAGAGAAAUUAAAAUUUAAUAUAAGUUUAGAAACAUAUUGAUGCAUUCAUGCUGCAACAUUUAUUUAUGUGAUGUGUGGAAUUUGUAAAGAGUUUUGAAUUCAAUUUUCAUUUGAAAAAUGAGUUUGAAAAAUUGUUUUGGAAAAAGAAAAAUGGAAUUCCUUUUCUUCCCCUCUCUCCUUCUCUCGGCCUGCUAGGCCCAAAUCUCCCCCGCGCCCCCUCUCCCUUCCUAGGCCGAGGCCCAGCUGGCCAAGUCCCUCUCCCUCUCCCUCCCGCCGACAGAUGGGGCCCAUCUGUCAGCUCCAUCAUCUCCAACCGCCAGCCCCAACUCCCUCUCUCCCGAUUCUGCUCAACCUCAAGCCGAGCCGCCCCCCCCCCGCUCCCACGAUCUCCUUUCCCCCGCUCCUUGUCAUUUGGAGUCGCGCACGCGCCCGAGCCCCCUUCCCCUUCCCCAUUUGCUCUCCCCACAUCCUUGCCCUCGUUCUUGAACGCGCAGCGAGCUCGCCAAAAACCGCCGCGACCUCCGCACGUCGUCCCAUCGAAUCAAACCAUUUACGCUCCAAUUCUUCGCGCUGGUGAGCUCUACUCCUUCCCCGCAUUCUUCUCAAUUAAAUUUCAUGCGAUUUGGUGCCUCCUAGCGUCCUAGCCAUGAGCUCCGAGGAGCCGGUCAUGGCGCCGCCGCGGUCCGCACUGCGCGGACGUUUCUCUGGCCGCGCAAAGGCUAGGAUUGGAUUCGCCGCGACCUCCUCUCUCUCCCGGUGUAUUUGCUUCGCGAAACCGAGCUCCGUAACGUUCUGUAGGUUUUCUCCGGCGAGCUUGGGCCGGCCGGCCAUGGAGCGCCGCCGUCUCCUCUUCCCCCUCCGACCGGCAUCUCCUGUCCCCCCCCGAUCUAAUCUUGAGCGUCCGUUUUCAAUCCGAUGGCCAGGAGCGCUCCAUACCCCUUCGGGUGGAUAUUUUGCUAAAGAGUCCUUUCGAAUUUAGGAAAUAAAACCCGCAGUCC
rnacentral:lncRNA from 1 species